rnacentral:rRNA from 1 species
GACGAACGCUGGCGGCGUGCCUAAUACAUGCAAGUAGAACGCUGACUACUUUAGCUUGCUAGAGUAGAAGGAGUUGCGAACGGGUGAGUAACGCGUAGGUAACCUGCCUACUAGCGGGGGAUAGCUAUUGGAAACGAUAGCUAAUACCGCAUAACAGUGUUUAACACAUGUUAGAUGCUUGAAAGAUGCAAUUGCAUCACUAGUAGAUGGACCUGCGUUGUAUUAGCUAGUUGGUGGGGUAACGGCCCACCAAGGCGACGAGACAUAGCCGACCUGGGAGGGUGAUCGGCCAGACUGGGACUGAGACACGGCCCAGACUCCUACGGGAGGCAGCAGUAGGGAAUCUUCGGCAAUGGGGGCAACCCUGACCGAGCAACGCCGCGUGAGUGAAGAAGGUUUUCGGAUCGUAAAGCUCUGUUGUAAGAGAAGAACGUGUGUGAGAGUGGAAAGUUCACACAGUGACGGUAACUUACCAGAAAGGGACGGCUAACUACGUGCCAGCAGCCGCGGUAA